rnacentral:lncRNA from 1 species
CACAUAGAAGCUGUAGAAGACGAUAUCCGAUCCCAUGGCCUCAGGGUGGUCUUAAGACACGGGACGUAAUGUAGGCUAGGGUGAUAGGGUGAUAGAAACGAAGGGAAACUAAGCUCAAAUACCCGAUGAUCAAAACCCAUGCCCUCAUGUAUGAAAUGCAACAAGUAUAGUAAAUCCCGUGAGCCAUGGACCCAAUGGUGCCUAAUGUGAACAUAGUGUCAAUGAGGAAACAAGUGAAGCAAAUCAAACUGAUAAUGAGAUAUGUAAUGGUGAUACGAAGGGAAUAUCAAACCCGAGAUGGGUCGUGGUAAGAAAAGAAUAAGAGGUGAAGUGAGAAUGAUGAAUCAGAAGCGAAAACGAGGACGAUGAUAAUGAAGCGAAUAACAUCAAAAGGAGUGAUGAUCAACUCAGAUCAGACAUGGAGUGAAGUCACAUCAACUACGAACAUAAUGAUGGAACGGACAAUAACCCAGAGCUCCUAAGAGAAAGUCACUCAUCUCGCUCACAAAACAUGCAACAAAGUGAAUACAAAGCCUGGGGGAUCCCGGGAAGCUCACAUACGAACUCCCGCCAACAAACAUACUCGAUCAAGUGACCCUCGAAUAUCAAUACAUACACUCAGUGAUGGAUGACAAUACACACCUGGUUUUUAUUUCUUUUUCCAUUUUUUUUAUUUAUUUUUAUUUUUAUUUAUUUAUUUAUUUAUUUAUUUAUUUUUCUUUUUUUCUUUUUUUUUUUUUUUACAACAUAUAAAUGAAUUGUACAUGAUCUGAACGCAUACAAAGAAGACCCAAAGAUGGGAUCAAAAAUGAAUAAACAUGCCCUCAAAUAUCAAUAUAUCACAAACUCAAUCUAAUGAGAUGAGGUGACCUUCUCAAACUGAGGAUCCCUGGAUCAGUGUCCGUGGGAUAGAUAGUGGAAAUGACAUGACUACCCUCCAUGUGAUGAAAUGAGGAGGAUCACCCCUCGGGGUGAAAGAAGAUGACGUGAAACGAACAGUAGAUAAGAUAAAGAAAAUAUGAUGAAUAACACGAACAGUGAGAUGAGAUGAAAUGCAGUGAUGUAGUGGCGAGCACAGAUAAUGAGAAGAACGUGCCCCUAGGUCCAAGGCUCAUGAAACUCUCAAACAAUGCAUGCAUACACUAAAGGGCCCCAAUCCCGGUGUGAAAAUGUGAGCAAGGCUAUAAGAAAUGAAGGCUAUGAUGCGCGUGCAAGGCUCAAAUGGGCUAGCAAUGGACUAUAUAUAUCAGAAACGGGAUAAAGGGAUAUAGCUAACCGAAAUGAUGGCCACCCAUCCUGCAACCAUGGACUCAAACGUAGU